UCGACGCUACGGACGAUGCCUGCAUGGAGC
rnacentral:piRNA from 1 species